UCUUUCUCCAUUUCGGCCUGAUAGUAUGACUUUUGACUGAUAGUAGUGAAUCUUUGAGCUAUGUCAGCCAUUGGUUUUAAAAUGUCGCCUUUUUGCUAGUUUAUAUGUUCAGACCUCGUCCUUUGCUGUCUAUGCUGCCUUUUGAUCUUCUCGUCGUAUCGAAUUCGAGGAAUUAUAUGCCGGUUCUUCCUCGUGCCGUAGAAAUUUUUAUGCCAACGGCCAGGGUGACUACCAAGUUUCUUGUGUUAGUGUGCAAUGUGAAAGGUGACUCCUUUAUCUUAUGCCUGUGUCUAAGAAAGGACUGAUCUUGCAGUUGCAUUGAGAGUCACAAACACGCCCUGUUUGCUUUUAAUGAGCCAGCCAUUCAUUGAUGAGAAACAUCUCUCUCAUUUGGGUGGCAUUGUCCUUUGUAUAUUGUCAAAGGGCCAACAAUUUCUAACAUGAUAAGCCUGUUUCGGAAUGGUAUUGAAGGUGAGAUGAUUAGAAGGGGGUGGGUGGGGUUGGAAGAAGGUGUAGAAGUAGCCAAACUGCCAGGCAAUGAUCCCACAAGGAAUUGUUCGAGAAAGCAAGUCUAGUCCAUUAAGUCGAAAGCAACUCUAAUGCCUUUCUCGCUCUGGUGGUCUGGACCUGUUUUCAUGUCUCCAAAUCAAAGCUCUGAUGGUUCAUACUUUGUGUAAUCUGUCAGUCAAGGAGGGGCUAGACCUCGAGCUUCCAGCUCCUAGCUAAUGAAAGGGUUCCCGCUACAUCUGAAUGAUAGCAGGCGCAAUUACUUGCAAUAACUUACAAUUUCAUACUUCUCAAGUGCCAACUGAGAGGUGGCUUCGUGCAGUUGUACAAUUUGGAAGAACAAGGUCCUGGAACUCCUCAAGAUCAUUUAAAUGACAAGAACUCGUCCAGUUCCCGCGGUCUCAAA